AUCUAUUUGACAGUACUCUUGAACAAGUAGAGCCUCUGAAGCCUAGGAGUGAGGAGAAGGUAUCGAAGAACCUUAUAUGGUAUAUCCUUCUAAUUUCUAUCUUCUUGUCUGAGCUUAAAUCAGCUUUUGCCGCAUAUGUCAUAUGAGCUCUUCAGUUGAUCCUCCUUACAGAAAAGUAUGCAAUCAUUAUGACAUACAUCUAUCUUCUCAUAUCCC
rnacentral:lncRNA from 1 species